CCUACGGGUGGCAGCAGUGAGGAAUCUUGCUCAAUGGACGAGAGUCUGAUCCAGCAACGCAGCGUGAAGGAUGACUGUCCUCUGGGUUGUAAACUUCUUUUAUAUGGGAAUAAAAUGUUCAACGUGUGGGAUUUUGUAUGUACCAUAUGAAUAAGGAUCGCCUCACUCCGUGCCAGCAGCCGCGGUAAUACGGAGGUUCCGAGCGUUAUCCGGAUCUAUUGGGUUUAAAGGGAGCGUAGGUGGAUUGUGAAGUCAGUUGUGAAAGUUUGCGGCUCAACCGUAAAAUUGCAGUGGAAACUGGCAGUCUUGAGUACAGUAGAGGAGGGCGGAAUUCGUGGUGUAGCGGUGAAAUGCGUAGAUAGCACGAAGAACUCCAAUGGCGAAGGCGGUUCACUGGACUGCAACUGACACUGAGGCUCGAAAGUGUGGGUAGCAAACAGGAUUAGAUACCCUAGUAGUC
rnacentral:rRNA from 1 species